UACGGAGGGGGCUAGCGUUAUUCGGAAUUAUUGGGCGUAAAGGGCGCGUAGGCGGCCCUGUAAGUCAAAGGUGAAAUCCCUCGGCUCAACUGAGGAACUGCCUUUGAAACUGCAGGGCUUGAGGCCGGGAGGGGGUAGCGGAAUUCCCAAUGUAGCGGUGAAAUGCGUAGAUAUUGGGAGGAACACCAGUGGCGAAGGCGGCUACCUGGACCGGUUCUGACGCUGAGGCGCGAAAGCGUGGGUAGCAAACAGG
rnacentral:rRNA from 1 species